GAUGAACGCUGGCGGCGUGCUUAACACAUGCAAGUCGAACGAUGAAGCCCAGCUUGCUGGGUGGAUUAGUGGCGAACGGGUGAGUAACACGUGAGUAACCUGCCCUUAACUCUGGGAUAAGCCUGGGAAACUGGGUCUAAUACCGGAUAGGAGCGUCCACCGCAUGGUGGGUGUUGGAAAGAUUUAUCGGUUUUGGAUGGACUCGCGGCCUAUCAGCUUGUUGGUGAGGUAAUGGCUCACCAAGGCGACGACGGGUAGCCGGCCUGAGAGGGUGACCGGCCACAAUGGGACUGAGACACGGCCCAGACUCCUACGGGAGGCAGCAGUGGGGAAUAUUGCACAAUGGGCGCAAGCCUGAUGCAGCGACGCCGCGUGAGGGAUGACGGCCUUCGGGUUGUAAACCUCUUUCAGUAGGGAAGAAGCGAAAGUGACGGUACCUGCAGAAGAAGCACCGGCUAACUACGUG
rnacentral:rRNA from 1 species